AACGAACGCUGGCGGCAUGCCUAACACAUGCAAGUCGAACGAAGUCUUCGGACUUAGUGGCGCACGGGUGCGCAACGCGUGGGAAUCUGCCCUUGGGUACGGAAUAACUCAGAGAAAUUUGUGCUAAUACCGUACAAUGUCUUCGGACCAAAGAUUUAUCGCCCAAGGAUGAGCCCGCGUAAGAUUAGCUAGUUGGUGGGGUAAAAGCCUACCAAGGCGACGAUCUUUAGCUGGUCUGAGAGGAUGAUCAGCCACACUGGGACUGAGACACGGCCCAGACUCCUACGGGAGGCAGCAGUGGGGAAUAUUGGACAAUGGGCGAAAGCCUGAUCCAGCAAUGCCGCGUGAGUGAUGAAGGCCUUAGGGUCGUAAAGCUCUUUUACCAGGGAUGAUAAUGACAGUACCUGGAGAAUAAGCUCCGGCUAACUCCGUGCCAGCAGCCGCAGUAACAC
rnacentral:rRNA from 1 species